rnacentral:lncRNA from 1 species
UGCAACUAUUGAGAUAAUCACGUGGUUUUUCUUUUUAGUUCUGUUUCUGUGAUGAAUCACAUAUAUUGAUUUGUGUUUGUUGAACCAACCUUGCAUCCCAGGGAUAAAGUCGACUUGAUCAUGGUGGAUAAGCUUUUUGAUGUGCUGCUGGAUUUGGUUUGCUAAUAUUUUGUUGAGGAUUUUUGCAUCAAUGUUUGUCAAAUAUUGCCCUGAAGUUUUCUUUUUUGUUGUAUCUCUGUCAGGUUUUGGUAUCAAGAUGAUGCUGGCCUCAUAGAAUGAGUUAGAAAGAAGCUCCAGCUUUUCAAUUUUUUGGCAUAGUUUCAGUAGGAAUGGUAACAGCUAUUCUUUGUUCAUCUGGUAGAAUUCAGCUGUAAAUCCAUCGGGUCCUGGGCUUUUUUGUUGGUGGUGGUGGUGGUAGUCUAGCUAGUGGUCUAUUUUAUUAAUGUUUUCAAAAAUCCAGCUCCUGAAUUCAUUGAUCUUUUGAAUUUUUUCAUGUGUCUCAAUCUCCUUCAGUUCAGCUCUGAUUUUGAUUAUUUCUUGUCUUCUGCUAGCUUUGGGAUUUGUUAGCUCUUGGUUCUCUAGUUGUUUUAGUACAAAUCACUGCUCAAAGAAAUCAGAGAUGACACGAAUAAAUGGAAAAACAUUCCACACUCUUGGACAAGAAGAAGCAAUAUCGUUAAAAUGGCCACACUGCCCAAAGCAAUUUAUAGAUUCAAUGCUAUUCCUUAUUAAACUACCAUUGAUAGUCUUCACAUUAAAAAAAAAAAAAAAAAAAAAAAAAAAAAAAAAAAAAAAAAACCCACAACAAAAGUUUUCCUAUGUAAUAAACCUGCACAUGUAUCACUGAACUUAAAAGUUGAAGAUAUUUUAGAAGAACAUUUGAGGGUUCAGCUUUGUAAGAUCCUGAGAUGAAAAGAUUAAAUGAAACUAUUUACAUUAGUGUGCAAAUGGGAACUUUAAAAAUACUGAUUCAAUCAAGAACAUGUAUCUCAUAUCAUUACUCAUAAAUAAAAAAUUAUUAUUAUAAUUAAAGUUUAUUGAG